GUUGACCUUUUCUGAGUCCAUCUUCUAUGUCCAGAGAGGGCAGGGAGCUUUCACCAUGGUUCUGCUGGAAAGGGCUACUGUAAGGGCUUCUUACUCUAUUGUAACAAAGAGGAAUCCAAACAAUGGGCAGAGGCUCAAGUUUUGCAGCAGCUUUGUGGAGUGAAAACAAUGAAGAUCCCUUCUAAGAACUGAGGACAUUCCAGGAAACACAACUACCCCUGGAGUCCUCCUGUGACUCCAGAGAAAACAGAAGGGGCCUCUAGAAACAUCCACUCUUAGCAGGCUUUUGUAUACCUGAGUGGACCUCUAUCUCCAAAGCUGCUUGAGUCAGCCAGAAAGUUAUCAGUGAAAUCAUGUUGUGGGGAUAGCAACUUCUUAACACCAAGCAACAACUCAGGUGCAGCUGUUUGAGAGACGAACUGAGCCCCUGCUAAAGCUAAAUUUCCCACGAUGCACCCUGAAUUAGCAUUGGCACCAGAAGGUCAGCAACAUGAUGAAGAUAGACCCUGGAAAUCUUGGUAACUGUGGGCGUCACAUUGAUGACAAAGGAUGAUUGCCUUCAUGCCGCGACAACCUGGGGAGACAGGAGAAACAUGCUAACACACCUGAGACACUGGAGUAGACACUUGUCACUUGUGGCUGCAGAGCCUUUGGAGGACCCAGCUCAGCUGCUGCCAAAGGGAGUUCUCUGGCAGGUGAUAAAGUUGCUGACAAUGUGAGUGAAGACAACAGAAGCUACCUACUAAGUGUCAAUCAGUGCACAGAUCGGCAUCUUGGCAGGUGGUUGGACACACGUUUUCUAAUCUAUAUGGUCAUCCUGAAAGAUAAGUAAUAUUACUAUCACGCUACAGUGGAGAAAUCUGAAGCUUAGGAAGGUUAAGUGAAUUGUAGAGAGACAUACAGCCAGUUAGUGCAGAAGCCAGUCUUCAUAGAAAGUCCCUCUGGCUACAAAGACAUAAGAAUGAUACAAUGGACUUUGGGGACUCUGGAGAAAGGGUGGGAGUGGGGUAAAGGAUGAAGUCUACGAACUGACUAUAGUGUAUAGUGCUCAGGUGAUGGGUGUACCAGAACUUCAAAAAUCACUGCUAAAGAACUUAUACAUGUAAUCAAACAUCACCUGUUCCUUCAGAACCUAUGGAAAUAAAAAUAAGAAGUCAAUAAAAAGCCCCUCUGCU
rnacentral:lncRNA from 13 species